rnacentral:lncRNA from 1 species
AAAAAAUUAUAGUAUGGAAGAUAUGGCAGAGCAAUUCUAGAUGGAGGCUCAAAUACAACACCUCUUAGGAUUUUGUGACUAGGAGGAGUUUGAGACCAAGUUUAGGAAUCAAUUUUUCUCCAACAAUGUAGAGAAUAUAGCACGUGAUCAAUUGACAUAUCUUAUACAAGUUAGGUCAGUGCAAGAUUAUGUCUCUCGAUUUAAGUCCAUAUGUCUCCAAAUUGACAAUGUUCUAAAGGCGGAGAUGAUGGAUUAAUUUCUAUGAGGUUUGAAACCUGACAUCUAGUAACAUAUGGAGUUAAGGAAUCCACAUUUGGAGAGAUAAUUCUUAUCUUAAUAGUUAGUAGCUUGAAGGUUAAUUAGUAAUUUUACCUUCUAAUUGUAGACACUCUUUUACCUACUAGGAAUUUAUUCAAAGAUCAAAAUUUAGGGCCCAAGAGCUAGAUUAAAGCUUAUUUUAGAGACAUAAGGUUAGUUUUGGGAGGAUUUAGAGAGAGUUAGCAAUUAUUGUUGGAAGUCAAGGUUUGUAUUAGCAACUUGGAAUUUAAACAAUGAAAUUAGGACUAAUACUCUAAGCUAGUUUGUAAAAUUGGUAUUACAUCUAUGAUUCAAAUUUUGACAAUGCUUAGAUAAUUAGGUGUUCUAAGUGUAUGUAGAAUUUUGUGGUAAUACAAAGGCACAAUUGAGAGAUAUCUAGGUUUUGAUACAAGAACAUAAUAGAAGUUGGAAGUUUGGAGUUAAAUAGGGUUUCUAUUAUAUCUAAAGAUCUACUAGUUGGAUCAAGGUGAAAUUUGGCAUAAUAUUGAAGGACUUGAAGAUCAAGAUUUACAUUAAUUUUGAGUUGAAGUUAAU